rnacentral:tRNA from 1 species
GCCGGUCGUCUCCAAGUGGGUGGAGAGGUCGCUUGCAGCGAUGUGCGAGGCCGCGGCAGCGCGUCAGCUGCCGUUCAUUCCGACGCGACUCGUGCC